rnacentral:siRNA from 1 species
UUAAGAGGAUGAUUCUGCCGAGCC